UACGAAGGGGGCUAGCGUUGCUCGGAAUUACUGGGCGUAAAGCGUCCGCAGGUGGCACGGUCAGUGGGGUGUGAAAGCCGGUGGCUUAACCGCCGGAGGCCAUCCCAAACUGCCGCGCUGGAGUCGGGCAGAGGGUGCCGGAAUUGCCGGUGUAGUGGUGAAAUGCGUAGAUAUCGGGAGGAACACCAGUGGCGAAGGCGGCUUCCUGGCCUGUUCUUGACGCUGAGGCGCGAAAGCUAGGGUAGCAAGCGGG
rnacentral:rRNA from 1 species